AACGAACGCUGGCGGCAGGCCUAACACAUGCAAGUCGAACGCUGUAGCAAUACAGAGUGGCAGACGGGUGAGUAACGCGUGGGAACGUGCCCUUCGGUUCGGAAUAACUCAGGGAAACUUGAGCUAAUACCGGAUACGUGCGAGAGCAGAAAGAUUUAUCGCCGAAGGAUCGGCCCGCGUCCGAUUAGCUAGUUGGUGUGGUAAUGGCGCACCAAGGCGACGAUCGGUAGCUGGUCUGAGAGGAUGAUCAGCCACACUGGGACUGAGACACGGCCCAGACUCCUACGGGAGGCAGCAGUGGGGAAUAUUGGACAAUGGGCGCAAGCCUGAUCCAGCCAUGCCGCGUGAGUGAUGAAGGCCCUAGGGUUGUAAAGCUCUUUCGCCAGGGACGAUAAUGACGGUACCUGGAUAAGAAGCCCCGGCUAACUUCGUG
rnacentral:rRNA from 1 species